AUGCACGCUGGCGGCGUGCCUCAUACAUGCAAGUCGAGCGAACGGACGAGAAGCUUGCUUCUCUGAUGUUAGCGGCGGACGGGUGAGUAACACGUGGAUAACCUACCUAUAAGACUGGGAUAACUUCGGGAAACCGGAGCUAAUACCGGAUAAUAUUUUGAACCGCAUGGUUCAAAAGUGAAAGACGGUCUUGCUGUCACUUAUAGAUGGAUCCGCGCUGCAUUAGCUAGUUGGUAAGGUAACGGCUUACCAAGGCAACGAUGCAUAGCCGACCUGAGAGGGUGAUCGGCCACACUGGAACUGAGACACGGUCCAGACUCCUACGGGAGGCAGCAGUAGGGAAUCUUCCGCAAUGGGCGAAAGCCUGACGGAGCAACGCCGCGUGAGUGAUGAAGGUCUUCGGAUCGUAAAACUCUGUUAUUAGGGAAGGACAUAUGUGUAAGUAACUGUGCACAUCUUGACGGUACCUAAUCAGAAAGCCACGGCUAACUACGUG
rnacentral:rRNA from 1 species